AACUUUGGACAAUGGGGGAAACCCUGAUCCAGCCCUCCCGCGUGUCUGAUGAAGGCCUUCGGGUUGUAAAGUACUUUUGGCAGAGAAGAAAAGGCACCCCCUACUACGGAAUGCUGCUGACGGUAUCCGCAGAACAAGCACCGGCUCACCACGUGCCAGCAGCCGCGGUAAUACGCAGGGUGCAAGCGUUAACCGGAAUUACUGGGCGUAAAGCGUGUGUAGGCGGUGCGGAAAGAAAGAUGUGAGAGGCCAGGGCUCAACCGUGGAACUGCAUUUUUAACUGCCGAGCUAGAGUAUGUCAGAGGGGGGUAGAAUUCCACGUGUAGCAGUGAAAUGCGUAGAUAUGUGGAGGAAUACCGAUGGCGAAGGCAGCCCCCUGGGAUAAUACUGACGCUCAGACACGAAAGCGUGGGGAGCAAACAGG
rnacentral:rRNA from 1 species